UACGUAGGGGGCUAGCGUUGUUCGGAAUUACUGGGCGUAAAGCGUGCGCAGGCGGCUUUCCAAGUCAGUGGUGAAGGCCCGGAGCUCAACUCCGGAAAUGCCAUUGAAACUGUGAAGCUUGAGAACGAGAGAGGUGAGUGGAAUUCCCAGUGUAGAGGUGAAAUUCGUAGAUAUUGGGAAGAACACCAGUGGCGAAGGCGGCUCGCUGGCACGUAACUGACGCUCAGGCACGACAGCGUGGGGAUCAAACAGG
rnacentral:rRNA from 1 species